UACGUAGGGGGCAAGCGUUGUCCGGAUUUAUUGGGCGUAAAGAGCGUGUAGGCGGUUAGGUAGGUCCGUUGUGAAAACUCGAGCUCAACCUCGAGACGCCGAUGGAAACCCCCUAACUAGAGUCCGGAAGAGGGUAGUGGAAUUCCCGGUGUAGUGGUGAAAUGCGUAGAUAUCGGGAGGAACACCAGUGGCGAAGGCGACUACCUGGCCUGUUCUUGACGCUGAGGCGGCGAAAAGCUAGGGGAGCAAACGGGG
rnacentral:rRNA from 1 species